AUGAAAAUCAUUAGUUGGAACUGCAUGGGACUUGGGAAUGGCCCGACAGUUCGAUCUCUCGUCGAGUUGGGGAGAGUGGAGGAUCACGAUGUGUUAUUCUUGGCGGAGACUCGGCUCACAGAGAAGUAGUUGGACAAAUUUCGGUGGAAGUUAGGGCUCGCUAACAUGUCUGCCUGGAAUCCAGUGGGUAGAAGUCGAGGGGUUUCCAUGUUCUAG
rnacentral:rRNA from 1 species